UACGGAGGGGGCUAGCGUUGUUCGGAAUUACUGGGCGUAAAGCGUGCGCAGGCGGUUAUGUAAGACAGGUGUGAAAUCCCCGGGCUCAACCUGGGAACUGCAUCUGUGACUGCAUAGCUAGAGUACGGUAGAGGGGGAUGGAAUUCCGCGUGUAGCAGUGAAAUGCGUAGAUAUGCGGAGGAACACCGAUGGCGAAGGCAAUCCCCUGGACCUGUACUGACGCUCAUGCACGAAAGCGUGGGGAGCAAACAGG
rnacentral:rRNA from 1 species